rnacentral:rRNA from 1 species
GUGCCUUCGGGAACUSUGAGACAGGUGCUGCAUGGCUGUCGUCAGCUYGUGUUGUGAAAUGUUGGGUUAAGUCCCGCAACGAGCGCAACCCUUAUCCUUUGUUGCCAGCGGUUCGGCCGGGAACUCAAAGGAGACUGCCAGUGAUAAACUGGAGGAAGGUGGGGAUGACGUCAAGUCAUCAUGGCCCUUACGAGUAGGGCUACACACGUGCUACAAUGGCAUAUACAAAGAGAAGCGACCUCGCGAGAGCAAGCGGACCUCAUAAAGUAUGUCGUAGUCCGGAUYGGAGUCUGCAACUCGACUCCUGAAGUCGGAAUCGCUAGUAAUCGUAGAU